rnacentral:rRNA from 1 species
CAGUCGCCGCGGUAAUACAGAGGAUGCAAGCGUUAUCCGGAAUGAUUGGGCGUAAAGCGUCGCAGGCGGUUGUGUAAGACAGGUGUGAAAUCCCCGGGCUUAACCUGGGAACUGCGCUUGUGACUGCACAGCUAGAGUAUGGCAGAGGGGGGUGGAAUUCCACGUGUAGCAGUGAAAUGCGUAGAGAUGUGGAGGAACACCGAUGGCGAAGGCAGCCCCCUGGGCCAAUACUGACGCUCAUGCACGAAAGCGUGGGGAGCAAACAGGAUUAGAUACCCCCGUAGUCCCUGUCUCUUAUACA